rnacentral:rRNA from 1 species
GAUGAACGCUGGCGGCAGGCUUAACACAUGCAAGUCGAACGGGUGUAGCAAUACAUCAGUGGCAGACGGGUGAGUAACACGUGGGAACCUUCCUAGGGGUACGGAACAACUCAGGGAAACUUGAGCUAAUACCGUAUACGUCCGUGAGGAGAAAGAUUUAUCGCCCUUAGACGGGCCCGCGUCGGAUUAGGUAGUUGGUGGGGUAACGGCCUACCAAGCCUACGAUCCGUAGCUGAUCUUAGAGGAUGAUCAGCCACACUGGGACUGAGACACGGCCCAGACUCCUACGGGAGGCAGCAGUGGGGAAUCUUGGACAAUGGGCGCAAGCCUGAUCCAGCCAUGCCGCGUGAGUGAAGAAGGCCUUAGGGUUGUAAAGCUCUUUUACCAGGGACGAUAAUGACGGUACCUGGAGAAUAAGCCCCGGCAAACUUCGUGCCAGCCGCCGCUGUAA